AAGUCGUAACAAGGUUUCCGUAGGUGAACCUGCGGAAGGAUCAUUAAAAAAAAUGUCCUCAACACCCCGUGAACGUCCCGGCUUGAUUCAAUCAAGUGCAGGUGACAAAUGCAAACCUUGGGUCAUUCCAGGUUGGCAAAAACUAACCCAAUACCUUUAUACUGAGUCAAUUACCUACGGUAAUAAAGACAACUUUUAGCAAUGGAUCUCUAGGUUCUC
rnacentral:misc_RNA from 1 species